AGGGUGUAAACGCUGCAGACUUGGUGUUGGGAACCCUUCGGGGGUGCUCAGUGCCGGAGAGAAGUUGUUAAGUCUGCUACUUGGGGGGUACGUCCGCAAGGAUGAAACUUAAAGGAAUUGGCGGGGGAGCACCGCAACGGGAGGAGCGUGCGGUUUAAUUGGAUUCAACACCGUAAAACUCACCAGGGAAGACUGUUACAUGAAGGCCGAGAUGAAGACUCUGCUAGAUUUUCAGAGAGGAGGUGCAUGGCGUCAGUGACU
rnacentral:rRNA from 1 species